rnacentral:rRNA from 1 species
GAAGCUGGAAUUGCUGUAAUGGCAGGUCAGCAUACUGCCGUGAAUACGUUCCCGGGCCUUGUACACACCGCCCGUCACACCAUGAGAGUUGGGAAUACCCGAAGCCUGUGAGCUAACUUAUAGAGGCAGCAGUCGAAGGUAGAAUCAAUGAUUGGGGUGAAGUCGUAACAAGGUAGC